CACAUAUUUUUUUUUCCUAAUAUCAAUUCGAAUCAAGUAUCAGUUGAGUUCUCAAUUCUUUAACACAACAAAAGUCAACACCCAACCCCUGAAUUAAAUAUUAAAACUAACUAAAACAAUAUAUCUGCCCUGGCUAAAAGCCUUGUCCAUAAAAUGUAUAGACAAGAAUUUCCUCUCUAUACAUUCUACUUUUUAUAAUUUAGACAUUUAACACCAGGAACAUAGAAUAAUAUCUGCCUAAGUAGUGAUCAACAUUAGCUCACACAGCAGUAAAAUAAAAUAGACCUAAGAAAUAUAAACAACUAGUCUGAUACAAAUGCCAAUGUAUAUUUCAUAUAAAACUAAACUGGAAUCUGAAUGUCCUAUAUUAAUGCAUAAACUCGCUUACUCGCUGCAUACUCAAAGCGGGCAACAAUAUUCAAAAUGAGUCAUGGGUGGCCAUGUGAUCUUCAAGAUCUCUGGGAACAUCAAAUACAACAUUGCAAACACAACAAACAUAUCCAACACCAGUUGGUUCUUUUGACUCAAGUUCUUGACAUAAACCACAUUGAUAGAUCCCAUCAUUGCCAUGGUGUCUUGCUAUAUGUUGAACCAAUUUGAUAAAUUUAGAAAAUCGCCUGUUACAUUUGUUACAAGUGUAUUUUCCAGUGUUUUUAUCCUCAACAAAAUGUUCUUUCCAAUUCUGUAGUUCAAUAAUCUCUGUGUGGCAACUACUGCAAAACAAAUGCGCCUUUUUGUGCCAAUUAAGACUGCUUAAUUGUCUAAAUCUCUUCUUGCAAACAUCACAUUCACAAGGAUUGUCUCCAGUGUGUGUUCUUUUAUGUACAGCUAAAUGUCCUGAUUCCCUAAAUUUCUUCUUACAAACAUCACAUUCAUAAGGUUUGUCUCCAGUGUGUGUUAUAUUAUGUGAUGCUAAAUUACAUGAAUGUCUAAAUUUCUUCUUACAAACAUCACAUUCAUAAGGUUUGUCUCGAGUGUGUGUUCUUUUAUGUGAUGCUAAAUUACCUGAAUAUCUAAAUUUCUUCUUACAAACAUCACAUUCAUAAGGUUUGUCUCGAGUGUGUGUUCUUUUAUGUGAUGCU